rnacentral:rRNA from 1 species
UACGCACGCUGGCGGCGUGCUUAACACAUGCAAGUCGAACGGAAAGGCUCCAGCUUGCUGGAGUGCUCGAGUGGCGAACGGGUGAGUAACACGUGGGCAAUCUGCCCUGCACUCUGGGAUAAGCCUGGGAAACUGGGUCUAAUACCGGAUAGGACCUUUCUCCUCAUGGGGUUUGGUGGAAAGUUUUUCGGUGCAGGAUGAGCCCGCGGCCUAUCAGCUUGUUGGUGGGGUAAUGGCCUACCAAGGCGACGACGGGUAGCCGGCCUGAGAGGGUGAUCGGCCACAUUGGGACUGAGAUACGGCCCAGACUCCUACGGGAGGCAGCAGUGGGGAAUAUUGCACAAUGGGCGAAAGCCUGAUGCAGCGACGCCGCGUGAGGGAUGACGGCCUUCGGUUUGUAAACCUCUUUCAGUAGGGACGAAGCGCAAGUGACGGUACCUGCAGAAGAAGCACCGGCUAACUACGUG